GACAACUUCGGGAAACCGGAGCUAAUACCGGAUGAUGCAGCGGACCCUUUGGGGUACAGUUGUUAAAGCGGGCUUCGGCUCGCACUUUAGGAUGGGCCUGCGGCCGAUUAGCUAGUUGGUAGGGUAAUGGCCUACCAAGGCGAUGAUCGGUAGCUGGUCUGAGAGGAUGAUCAGCCACACUGGGAUUGAGAUACGGCCCAGACCUCUACGGGGGGCAGCAGUAGGGAAUUUUGCGCAAUGGGCGAAAGCCUGACGCAGCAACGCCGCGUGAUCGAUGAAGCUUCUAGGAGCGUAAAGAUCUGUCGUGAGGGAAGAAAAGUUCGGAGGUAAAUAAUUUUCGUUCUUGACGGUACCUCACAAGAAAGCACCGGCUAACUUCGUGCCAGCAGCCGCGGUAAUACGAGGGGUGCUAGCGUUGUCCGGAAUCAUUGGGCGUAAAGGGUCCGUAGGCGGUUUGACAAGUCAAUUGUUAAAUAUAUCGGCUUAACCGAUAGAAUGCAGUUGAAACUGUCA
rnacentral:rRNA from 1 species